CCCUUUGCAGUUGCAAUCAGCGUCUGAAAAAACAUAAUAGUUACAACUUUCAACAACGGAUCUCUUGGUUCUGGCAUCGAUGAAGAACGCAGCGAAAUGCGAUAAGUAGUGUGAAUUGCAGAAUUCAGUGAAUCAUCGAAUCUUUGAACGCACAUUGCGCCCCUUGGUAUUCCAUGGGGCAUGCCUGUUCGAGCGUCAUUUGUACCUUCAAGCUCUGCUUGGUGUUGGGUGUUUGUCUCGCCUCUGCGUGUAGACUCGCCUUAAAACAAUUGGCAGCCGGCGUAUUGAUUUCGGAGCGCAGUACAUCUCGCGCUUUGCACUCAUAACGACGACGUCCAAAAGUACAUUUUUUACACUCUUGACCUCGGAUCAGGUAGGGAUACCCGCUGAACUUAAGCAUAUCAAUAAGCCGGAGGAAAGUUUUCCGC
rnacentral:rRNA from 1 species